GAAGCAAGGGUGAUCCUGGGAACAACAUCCAGGGAUCUGCAGGGAUCAAAGGGUUUGCAGGUUCUUCAGGUGAAUCCAUGCUCGGAGAUCCUGGUCCUAAAGGAAACGAUGGAAAACCGGGACCUCCAGGGAUCCCUGGACCUUCUGGUCAACCAGGUGAAAUUGGGCCACCGGGUGUGUGUGACAACAGUGGAGGCUGCCAAAAAAUUCCCCCGCAGACAGAAGACUCUUAUUAUGGCUACCAGCCAUGACAGCCAGGACUACCCAGCCCAAGCUUAAAAAGACCCUCCAUCUAGAAAUCUGUCAUGACCGCGGUGGGCAUUUGGAACCACAUGUGGAGCCAAGAAAUGAAUCAUUACUUCAGUUUCUGUAAAAA
rnacentral:lncRNA from 1 species